UACGAAGGGGGCUAGCGUUGUUCGGAUUUACUGGGCGUAAAGCGCACGUAGGCGGCUUGUUAAGUCGGGGGUGAAAUCCUGGAGCUCAACUCCAGAAUUGCCUUCGAUACUGGCUUUCUAGAGGCUGGAAGAGGUUAGUGGAAUUCCCAGUGUAGAGGUGAAAUUCGUAGAUAUUGGGAAGAACACCAGUGGCGAAGGCGGCUAACUGGUCCAGAUCUGACGCUGAGGUGCGAAAGCGUGGGGAGCAAACAGG
rnacentral:rRNA from 1 species